rnacentral:tRNA from 1 species
UGGGGCUUAGCUCAGUGGUAGAGCACUUGCCUUGCACAUGAGAGGUACUGUGUUUGAUCGUCAGCACCACAUAAAAAUAAAUAAAUAAAGAUAUUGUACCAACUAAAACUAAAAAAAUAUUUAAAAAAAAGAAAAGAAAGUUAUAGAACUGGAGUUCAAAAACAACAAAGUCCUAA